rnacentral:rRNA from 1 species
AUUGAACGCUGGCGGCAGGCUUAACACAUGCAAGUCGAGCGGGGUGAUGGUGCUUGCACUAUCACUUAGCGGCGGACGGGUGAGUAAUGCUUAGGAAUCUGCCUAUUAGUGGGGGACAACAUCUCGAGUGGGAUGCUAAUACCGCAUACGUCCUACGGGAGAAAGCAGGGGAUCACUUGUGACCUUGCGCUAAUAGAUGAGCCUAAGUCGGAUUAGCUAGUUGGUGGGGUAAAGGCCUACCAAGGCGACGAUCUGUAGCGGGUCUGAGAGGAUGAUCCGCCACACGGGGACUGAGACACGGCCCAGACUCCUACGGGAGGCAGCAGUGGGGAAUAUUGGACAAUGGGGGGAACCCUGAUCCAGCCAUGCCGCGUGUGUGAAGAAGGCCUUAUGGUUGAAAAGCACUUUAAGCGAGGAGGAGGCUCUUUUGGUUAAUACCCAAGAUGAGUGGACGUUACUCGCAGAAUAAGCACCGGCUAACUCUGUGCCAGCAGCCGCCGCAG